AUCUGGAUGUAAAGAGAUAAAAAUGGAAAUAAUUUAUCAAGAGGAAAACACAACGGAUUUUAGUUGGCCCAAAGCAGCAAGGGCCCAGUACUCUGUUUAUGGAUCUCCAACCUCCCCAGCUCCUUGUGUGCCUUCCGCUCUUUCUCUUCCUUGAAGGCAGAGCCUUGCCUGCUUAUCCUUGCGCCUCAGCCCCUGAUACACACAGACAUUGGCAUUUGGUAAAUGUGCACCCACUGCGGACAGAAACACAGAGUGAAUGGGGGUGACUUGCUCCUUGCUUGGUGGAAAAGUCUGUCCCCACAGCAGUGGGAAUGGAAUCCCUGCGAGAGACUGGAAGUCGGUCUCUGCAGAUUCCGAUCCCCAUGCCUGGGAUUUCCACCCAGCAGAUGCUUUUCACACUGUGAAACAUGCAGGCAUGUGGGCCGCCUGGUUCACGUGUCGGUGCUAUCCCCCCUCACUCCAUUUCCUGGGAAGGAGCAGAGCUGGGGGCGGGGGCUGUACUCCCCAAACAUGUUUUCCGUUUUGUGUUUCAGCCAACAAGUGAGAGGGCUCUCUCAUAGGCCACUUAACAUGUACUGCAGAUGUUUCCUUGGACAAGUGGAUCCCUCUUCCUCUGGGAGCCCAAAGCCUGAAUGAUCUGCAGACCUGAUAGAGCUGAGCUCAGGACAUCCAGCACCAAAGAUCCAGAGUCUUAUUUUGCAGUGUGACCUGAAGGUUAUAGAAAGAUGAAUUUUGAACUGCUUACAGCAAAAUUCAGUGGAAGAAUAAAGGAAUAACUCAAGGCUUUCAUCUGGUCUUGACUAAAAGAAAUUUUCCAUGUGGACGAUGAUCAUUUUGUUUUCGGUUGAGGAACUAACUCUUACUGAGGAUCCCUUAUACACCACCACUCGAAAUCCUCUCUACCCUCAUUUUCAUUGCUGCUGAUGGGCCUGAGUCUUCGGUUCCUGGAAGAGACAGUGCCGGACCAAAGCUGGAAGUUGGAAUCUCACUGGCUUCUUUCUGGAGUAAAAAUGGGAUAUUAUUACCUUCUGUCUCUUUCUGUUUUCCUUUGUCACUUUGUUCCAAAAAUGGUAAU